AUGGUAACAGGACUGGAUUGCUCAGUUGGCUUAAAGGAUACAUAUUUUAAAGUUGGCCGCUUGCUCUUAUCCGAGUUUGAUUGUUUUGAUUUUGCAUUUCUUCAUACUGUUCGUGUGAUGCUUUGGAUUGCCAACACAUUUCAUGUUACUUCAUAUCCAACCCUCUUACCUGUUACGAAGCCAUCUUGUAAGAACAAGGCCUUGACCAGUCUUGAUGAGUUACUGAAUCAUUAUUAUCCAAGAACUGUCAGGAACAUCAAAGAUUUUAAAUUAAACAACUUCUGAAAAUCAUUCAAGCUCUGCAAAAUCUAAACAUAUUGUCAAGGCCCAAGAAAUGGCUCUGCUUCAUCUUGACUUAAGGUCAGAGAGGUCAAACCCACUAUUGCUCUUUCAAGGUUAAACAACAGAAUGUUUGCCCUGAGAUGUAGCUAAACUAAUGGAUGUCUCAUCUUGACAAUAGGAUAUUUGGCCUAAGAAGUAACUAAUGGAUGUCUUGCUUUAACAACAGGAUAUUUAGCCUAACUAGGGCUAUUGUCUAUCUUGCCUUGACAACAGGAUACUUGGUUUAGGGUGUGUUUAGUUGAUGUUUUGGGUAUUGAGAUGGUAAUUACACUUGCUUGUUCUUUGUAUGGUGGUAAAGAAGUCUUCUG
rnacentral:lncRNA from 1 species